UACGAAGGGGGCUAGCGUUGCUCGGAAUCACUGGGCGUAAAGCGCACGUAGGCGGACUUUUAAGUCGGAGGUGAAAUCCUGGAGCUCAACUCCAGAACUGCCUUCGAUACUGAGAGUCUUCGAGUUCGGGAGAGGUGAGUGGAACUGCGAGUGUAGAGGUGAAAUUCGUAGAUAUUCGCAAGAACACCAGUGGCGAAGGCGGCUCACUGGCCCGAUACUGACGCUGAGGUGCGAAAGCGUGGGGAGCAAACAGGU
rnacentral:rRNA from 1 species